rnacentral:rRNA from 1 species
GACGAACGCUGGCGGCGUGCUUAACACAUGCAAGUCGAACGGUGAAGGGAUCAGCUUGCUGGUUCUGGAUGAGUGGCGAACGGGUGAGUAACACGUGAGUAACCUGCCCCCUUCUUCUGGAUAACCGCAUGAAAGUGUGGCUAAUACGGGAUAUUCUGCGCCUGCUGCAUGGUGGGUGUGGGAAAGAUAUUGUUUCGGUGGGGGAUGGGCUCGCGGCCUAUCAGCUUGUUGGUGGGGUGAUGGCCUACCAAGGCGGUGACGGGUAGCCGGCCUGAGAGGGUGGACGGUCACACUGGGACUGAGGCACGGCCCAGACUCCUACGGGAGGCAGCAGUGGGGAAUAUUGCACAAUGGGCGCAAGCCUGAUGCAGCGACGCCGCGUGAGGGAUGGAGGCCUUCGGGUUGUGAACCUCUUUCGCCAGUGAAGCAGGCCUGUCCCUUGUGGGUGGGUUGACGGUAGCUGGAGAAGAAGCGCCGGCUAACUACGUG